GGCUAUGUAGCUCAGUUGGUUAGAGCACCGCACUCAUAAUGCGGGGGUCACAAGUUCAA
rnacentral:tRNA from 10 species